CUCCAUUUGUUGAUGGUUUGUUCCAGGGAUAUAAUGCUACUAUUCUUGCUUAUGGUCAGACGGGUUCAGGGAGUAUAAACAUGUAAUUUGGUGGGUUGUAUAUAUAUAUAUAUAUAUUAUAUAAAUACACACAUGUAAUUUAGUGGGCCAAGUUAGCUUUAUAUGGCAAGCUAUUCAAGUUGGAUCGGCUGAGUUACAUUUGUUAGUAGGCCACCUGUGCUAGCUGGUUGAUUGCGUGUUGUUGCCUCUUGUGGUGAUUCAAAAUUAGAUUGGUUUUUGAAUGGCUCUGGUGGGGCCUGGAGCAUGUGAGUUUACAUGAGGUGAGGUUUGAGGAAUCAUAUUGAAAGUCGGAGGGCUUGUCGUGAUUUUCACAAUGAUGAUCUCGGAUCCAUAAUCGGGUGAUGUAAGCAUUUUCGGAUUAGCUCUUCUUCAAACUUGAGGAAAAGAUGUGGUGAUUCCGCCUAACUGAAGGCGUGGAAGUGUGUGUGUUGGGAGUACAAUGCUCUUGUUUUGCGUGACUCUGUUUUGUAAGACAAGGGCUAUAUUUGCAUGGGUUUGAAUAACCGUUAUGUGUAACCAGGCUUAAGCCUUGGAAACUUGUAAACCCUUUGGGGUAUUUAUUUGUUCAUUUACUUGUUGUCGGAUUAAUGUAGUAUCGCAUGAGGAAAUAUUUACAUUAUGAAAUGCAAGUGUGGGAUUGUAUGAUUGGUUUUCCUUAAAAAGGGCCAUGAUUAUUGUAUUACCAUUUGGGCAUGAAAAUUGGGGCGUUACACGGAGGCUCCCCCUCAAUCAAUGAAUCUUUUUUUUUUC